AGGGGAUUGCCAGAUCCUGGGCUAUGCCCCCGGCUGCCUGGGCUCUGGGGCCUGCGCCACUGGAAUCGCUCUCCCAGGGCCGAGCAUCCCCCG
rnacentral:pre_miRNA from 1 species